rnacentral:ncRNA from 1 species
AAAGAGCCCUACAUAAAAGGAGAAGCUGCUCCAUUAUGGCCCCGAGUCAUGCGUCGGUAUUCCGCGAGGAUGCGGCGAAGCGUUGACAGAGGAAGCGUAGGCCAGCCAUUGAGCUCCGAAAUCACCAUAAUCAGGGUGCCGACCGCGUGGUCUGGUUGGGAAGGCAACACGGGAAGCGGCAUAAAUCAGCUAGCUACUCCCCGGCCCUGCGGAGUCAGAGAAC